rnacentral:rRNA from 1 species
CUGGCUCAGGACGAACGCUGGCGGUAUGCUUAACACAUGCAAGUCGAACGAGACGAGAUGGAAGGAUCCUUCGGGUGACGGAAAUCUUAGAAAGUGGCGAACGGGUGAGUAACGCGUGGGUAACCUGCCCUAUGGAAAGGAAUAGCCUCGGGAAACUGGGAGUAAUGCCUUAUAAUACAUUGAAGUCGCAUGGCUUUGAUGUUAAACGCUCCGGUGCCAUAGGAUGGACCCGCGUCCCAUUAGCUAGUUGGUGAGAUAACAGCCCACCAAGGCGACGAUGGGUAACCGGUCUGAGAGGGCGAACGGUCACACUGGAACUGAGACACGGUCCAGACUCCUACGGGAGGCAGCAGUGGGGAAUAUUGCGCCAAUGGGGGAAACCCUGACGCAGCAAUACCGCGUGAGUGAAGAAGGUUUUCGGAUCGUAAAGCUCUGUUAUUGGGGAAGAAAAAAGACGGUACCCAAGAAGAAAGUCCCGGCUAACUACGUGCCAGCCGCCGC